rnacentral:hammerhead_ribozyme from 1 species
GCACUGCUCACGAGUCUCGAAUAGGACGAAACAGCUGUCCAGUAC